rnacentral:rRNA from 1 species
GUCCACGCCGUAAACGAUGAGUGCUAAGUGUUAGGGGUUUCCGCCCCUUAGUGCUGCAGCUAACGCAUUAAGCACUCCGCCUGGGGAGUACGGCCGCAAGGCUGAAACUCAAAGGAAUUGACGGGGGCCCGCACAAGCGGUGGAGCAUGUGGUUUAAUUCGAAGCAACGCGAAGAACCUUACCAGGUCUUGACAUCCUCUGACACUCCUAGAGAUAGGACGUUCCCCUUCGGGGGACAGAGUGACAGGUGGUGCAUGGUUGUCGU